rnacentral:rRNA from 1 species
CGCUCUUGACACCAUACCCCCUAUAAGAGGUCCAGCCUGCCCAGUGAAAUUUUAACGGCCGCGGUACUCUGACCGUGCGAAGGUAGCAUAAUCACUUGUUCUUUAAAUGAGGACUAGUAUCAACGGCAUCACGAGGAUUUUACUGUCUCCUUUUUCCUAUCGGUGAAACUGAUCUCCCCGUGAAGAAGCGGGGAUAAUAUUAUAAGACGAGAAGACCCCAUGGAGCUUUAAACCCAGUAACACCUCAAACACACCCCUUCCCAAAAGUUUUAAUGUUCUGUUCACUGGUUUUAGGUUGGGGCGACCGCGGAGUACAACUUAACCUCCACAGCGCACGGAACUAAUUCCUUACCUGAGAGCUACACCUCAAAGAAUUAUUACAUUAACGUAAAAUGAUCCAAUAUUUUCCUUAUUGAUUAAUGAACCAAGUUACCCUGGGGAUAACAGCGCAAUCCAUUUCUAGAGCCCCUAUCGACAAAUGGGUUUACGACCUCGAUGUUGGAUCAGGGUAUCCCAGUGGUGCAGCCGCUACUAAUGGUUUGUUUGUUCAACAAUUAAAACC